rnacentral:tRNA from 1 species
GCCGUUGUAGCUUAAACAAAGCGCUGGUCUUGUAAACCAAAGAUUGUAACUUAACAGUUACCAACAGCU